UAAACGACUCUCGGCAACGGAUAUCUCGGCUCUCGCAUCGAUGAAGAACGUAGCGAAAUGCGAUACUUGGUGUGAAUUGCAGAAUCCCGUGAACCAUCGAGUCUUUGAACGYAAGUUGCNCNCGAAGCCUUCUGGCUGAGGGCACGCCUGCCUGGGCGUCACGCN
rnacentral:rRNA from 1 species